rnacentral:rRNA from 1 species
CCUACGGGAGGCAGCAGUGGGGAAUAUUGGACAAUGGGCGAAAGCCUGAUCCAGCCAUGCCGCGUGUGUGAAGAAGGCCUUCGGGUUGUAAAGCACUUUCAGUGGGGAAGAAAGCCUUGGGGCUAAUACCCUCGAGGAAGGACAUCACCCACAGAAGAAGCACCGGCUAACUCCGUGCCAGCAGCCGCGGUAAUACGGAGGGUGCGAGCGUUAAUCGGAAUUACUGGGCGUAAAGCGCGCGUAGGCGGUCUGAUAAGCCGGUUGUGAAAGCCCUGGGCUCAACCUGGGAACGGCAUCCGGAACUGUCAGGCUAGAGUGCAGGAGAGGAAGGUAGAAUUCCCGGUGUAGCGGUGAAAUGCGUAGAGAUCGGGAGGAAUACCAGUGGCGAAGGCGGCCUUCUGGACUGACACUGACGCUGAGGUGCGAAAGCGUGGGUAGCAAACAGGAUUAGAUACCCUGGUAGUC